CCCACUUUAUCCUCUCUAUCCUAUUGCUGAGAGGGACAUUUUGGAGUGGAGUUCUGGAAGAGUGACUUCAAACCAAACAAAAAUAGGAACAACUAGCACUUUCCUGCACUUCUGCUUAGACCUUGUGGGAAACUUCAUCCCUCAUCUCUAGAGCUCCCCUUCCUUCCAAAGUUUGCUUGGUAGUUUGUUUUUUAAACCCAAGCAUUUGGGGAAGACUACAUCAGAGAAAGUAAACUUCCUAGCCUGCCCCCAUGCCAUUUUCUCCCGUUUACCUUUUAAAUUUUAUUUAUUUAUUUUACCCCUCCGAUCAGCGGAUGAUGCACCUGCCAGUAUACUUGGCUUUCUUCAAAAGUAUUCGCGGAGUACAUUCUGUAGGAUCACGUCGGGGUCAGACUUAAGAGCUUUCUCUCCUCAACUGGAUCAGAGGAAGAGUUUCUUCCCCGCCCCACCCCUGGUUGGGGGUGGGGAGGGAAGUAUGUAUGUCUUUGUGUGGGGUGGGUCUCUUGAGAUUGGAGCACUGAGGUCUUUUGGCUUUUGGACUGAUGAUGUGAGUGACUUUUGAUCGGAGCCGAAUUUGUCCUUUGGAUAGAGGUUUUAGAGGUCUUAAAAAAUGGAGAUCUAUUCCUUUAUCAAAUUGGUCAGCAUUGGCUUUUAAGGGGGCACAUGAGAAUAUUAAUCAUCCUUAAGUCAGGCCUUCCAUUAUUAAUUAUGAAUCUCUUCAGAUGAGAAUGCUAAUUCACACAGUACCUACAUUAUCUCCUUUGAUUCUCUCAGCAACUUUGUAAGGUAUACUACAACUGGGUAAUGAAGACUCUGCAGCAUUGUCAUCAGUAUUUUUACCUCUUAUGUCUAUAUAUAGCC